rnacentral:rRNA from 1 species
CGGACGGGUGAGUAAUGUAUGGGGAUCUGCCUGGUGGCGGGGGAUAACUACUGGAAACGGUAGCUAAUACCGCAUAAUGUCUGCGGACCAAAGCGGGGGGACCUCCCGGGCCUCGCGCCAUCAGAUGAACCCAUAUGGGAUUAGCUAGUAGGUAAGGUAACGGCUUACCUAGGCGACGAUCCCUAGCUGGUCUGAGAGGAUGAUCAGCCACACUGGGACUGAGACACGGCCCAG